rnacentral:rRNA from 1 species
AACGAACGCUGGCGGCAUGCCUAACACAUGCAAGUCGAACGAAGGCUUCGGCCUUAGUGGCGCACGGGUGCGUAACGCGUGGGAAUCUGCCCUUGGGUUCGGAAUAACUCAGAGAAAUUUGAGCUAAUACCGGAUGAUGACGUAAGUCCAAAGAUUUAUCGCCCAAGGAUGAGCCCGCGUAAGAUUAGCUAGUUGGUGGGGUAAAGGCCUACAAGGCGACGAUCUUUAGCUGGUCUGAGAGGAUGAUCAGCCACACUGGGACUGAGACACGGCCCAGACUCCUACGGGAGGCAGCAGUGGGGAAUAUUGGACAAUGGGCGAAAGCCUGAUCCAGCAAUGCCGCGUGAGUGAUGAAGGCCUUAGGGUGUAAAGCNCUUUUACCAGGGAUGAUAAUGACAGUACCUGGAG